UACGGAGGGGGCUAGAGUUGUUCGGAAUUACUGGGCGUAAAGCGUACGUAGGCGGCUUUGUAAGUUAGAGGUGAAAGCCCGGGGCUCAACCCCGGAAUUGCCUUUAAGACUGCAUCGCUUGAAUCGCGGAGAGGUGAGUGGAAUUCCGAGUGUAGAGGUGAAAUUCGUAGAUAUUCGGAAGAACACCAGUGGCGAAGGCGGCUCACUGGACGCGUAUUGACGCUGAGGUACGAAAGCGUGGGGAGCAAACAGG
rnacentral:rRNA from 1 species